GACCUCCUCCCCUCAGGAAAAGUGCUGCUGCUGGAGGGCGAAGGGGCCCCAGGGCCUCGUCAGGGCCUGGCAACUGCUUCUGCCCCUCUCUCCACCGCCCUCGCCAUCCCGCCCGGCCUCUCUCCCCUUCUCCUUGUUUUCUCCGCAGGCGCUCAUUCAGGCUCCCUCCUUCCUCAGCGCCGCAUGGCUCCUUCUUCUUCCUUCCACAGAAGUUUUGAGGUAUCCGACCCGCGCGCGAGACGGGAAGGUGUGCGCGCGCCUGCGUUUGUGUCUGUGUGCUCCUCGCGCACAAGCACGCGCCCCUACCCGUCCGCCCAAAGAGGGGCUUUCGCUGCUUGCUUGCUCGCUCCCUCUCUCCCGGCUGCUGUUCCGCGGAGUCUGAGAGAGUGGCGAAAGGCACGCCCCCCCCCCCCACAGCGCGUCGCAGCCAAUCCCAAGCCAGGAGCGCCUCUUUGGAAUCUCGAGGCGGGAGGCGCGCGAGCCGCUGCUCUCUUUCUCUCUCCCCCCUUCUCUGAACUUCCAGACAGCAGGUAACUAUGCAAAAGGACAACCCCAGUCCAACACAUCUAAAUCAGUGCCACACCUUCACACUUUUGAACCCUUCUCCUUCUGAUAGUGUCUGAGAAAAAUAUCUACAUGAAGAAUUGGAGAUGGAAUGAGAGGGUGAAGAGGAAGAGCUCCAACACACAGUAUGUUUUCUUUUCCUUGUACAAAAAAUACAACAGGAAAUGUUUGCUGGUUUUUGUUGUAAUGUCUUGUAAAUUAAAAUAUCUCAAAUUAACACCAGAGAUAGUCAAGUGAUGAUAAGUUUAUUGAGUGCAGGUAACCAUGGCUGAAGAAGUCCAUGACUUGUUCCAUUGUUUUGUUGCAGAAAAGGCAACUGAUUAAUUUCUGUCCCAGAUUUUGCAAUACAGUAGACACUAGUACCCAUUGGGAUUGGUAGCUGCUGGAUAAAUGUAGUUUCUGGUUGCUUGAGAGUUACCAUUUAAAAUAGGCCUAAGUAAUACUAAGCCUCAUACUAUAUCAUACAAUAAAUUUUGUAUUGACUUGUUAUUAAUAUUGAACUACGGUAAUUAAAAGCAAAUCAACACAAAUAAAGACAAACUUAAUGUAACACAAUUUUACUCUUUUACUGUAUUUAUAAAACAGCUUUUUAUUUCAAAUAUUUUGUCUUCAUUUUUUUUACUGGUUGCUUGAAAGUUCCAGUUGUUUCCAUUCUGGUUAACUGAGAGUCUAUUGUAUAUUUUGCUGCAGUUUGCUGGUUUUUUUCCAGUUAAGUCCAGAAAUGUCAUACCCACCUUUGGCUUCUGAACCUGAUCCAGAAAUGAACUAUGACCUGGAUGAAGCUUAUUCUGACUUUUUACCUAGUCCACAGAGCUCUUUCCAAUUACAGCUGCCGGCUGUUGAUAGCUCGGCUGAUUCCUUAAUUGGGAGAGAAAGUGAAAAUAUUACUCCCAUGGCGGAACCAGAUGUUCUUAGUUCCCCAAAGAAUGUGUCCUUCAACAGAAGGGAGUUUCUGCAUCACCAGAGAUCUGAGAAACAAGAACUCCGCAGGAGUAACCGCUUGGCAUCUCGAGGGGAUAAUGGAUAGAAGGCUUUCCCUUGGGAACCUUUAGGGAGUUUGGCUUUCCUUGUUUGUGAUCAAAUCUAAGUUCCAUAAAAGUGCUUUGCACCAUGGACAUUUCGCGGUGUCAACAUUUCUAUUUCCUGAGAAAGGUUCACCAACUCUAGCUCCUGUUUCUUCCAAGCCAAGUUUCCAGAUCCUGGCGGCCAAGCCGAGCCGCGACUCCCAAGUAGACCCGGAUUAAGUCUACUUCCUUGCCUGAACCAAGUUUUGCCUCAGCUUCAUCGCGUUCCUGCCUUGUUAUCAAAGUUUUCCUAGUGACUUUGGACUUUGUUAUUCAGUCUUGCUUCCUUGUUUUUUCCCCGCUCAAGAACUUUCCAACAGUUUUGAGUGUGUUUCGGUUUCUGGACUUUGGACAAUAAUAUUGACAUAUCCCUUCAAUUCUUUGGACUAAUUCCUACCUUUUCAUAAAAGACUAUUACCUGCUCAACCUUUCCACCUAUUCAUUCCUGGAUUUAUAACUGUUUUAAUAAAGG
ensembl:lncRNA